UUUCUUACUAUGUUUCUCAUGAAUUUCUUCUACAGAAAGACGCAUGUUAAAAGUCUGAGUUUCUUUUCUGAGAUCUCUGAACUUGUUUCGUUAGUAUCAUUUUCCUUGAUUACUUGUCCUUUCAUCUCUACUCUCGAUUGAUUGCAAGAAUCCUAAAGUUUGGGGAUUCAUUCGAGUUUUGAGACCAUUGGCUGUGUCAUUUGUUUGUUCUUCAUCUCUGAAUUUGUUUGAUUUCAAUAACCCUAACUUCUUUGGACCUAUUUCGAGUUUCUGAAGUUAUCUCAUCUACUAAACUUUUCUAAGGUCUUUCUACUGGACCCUUUGUAUGCUUUUUGAUACUCUAUCUCUCUUCUACAUUGCUGAGUUACUGAGACUAACCUAUGUGACUACCAUGUUCUUAUAGUUUACUAAUUACUGAUUUGGCAAUUGCAUGACGUUUUUCUUUGUCCUAAAUUUUGCCUCGCAUACUUGUGUGCUCUUUAUAUGUUCUAAGCUUUCCUCUAAAAUGGCUUUCAAUUUUGAUUAAUUUCAUACUUCAUUUGUAUAAGUCUAAUUGAUUUCUUUCCUUGUUUGUUGAUUUCCUUGUUACUUGGUUUGAGUCGAAAACUUUCCUUAGCCUUUCAGACUUGGUUUAUUCAUGAACCAGUAAUUACAAAUCUCUGACUCCUUGAUUUAAUAUGUACUAAUUGAUUGUUACCUUAUUUAUUUAAUCGUGUCUUCGAAAAUUCUUCCCUUAAGCAAACAUUUAUGUAUCUACCCUUAAUUGCCUACUUUGCACAAGAUGCUUACUUGAUCCCUUUACUUAAAUAAUUUUGUUCAUUACAGUUGUAGUCUCUCUGAACUUAUACUCCUACUCAAAAGUAUUUUCUCUUGUUACUUGUAUUGUGGCCUGUUUGCUAGUUCUGCUGCCUGCUUUUCUCUAUUUGCUUCUUUGAAACUGGUAUGUCCUGAUUAAGGUUUUCAGCACCACAACAAUGUGUUUAUUUACUACCUCUACUUGCAUGUCAGCCUACUGCUUAUGUAUGAUUUUAUACAUACUCUAACAUGAUGUAAUUUCCUUAUGCAUGUUAUAUUAUGAAUCCCAAACCCCUACUCCUAUUUGUUUAAGCUACGGUUUGAGGCAUGACAAUACUGCAAAAUUAUUAUCCAUGAUUCAAACUUGAUCCCGUGGGAUCCUAGCAUCCAAUAGUAUGUGUUCUGGCAGGUUUGAGAGUAUGCUAGUAUCCUCCAUUAUUGGGCAUGUUUGAAGUCUGCCCUUGCCUAAGCAAUAGGCUCUUUAUAAAUCUCCCUAUUCCCCUGAACCCUUUUUGUGUACUUAUUUGUAACAGUUUCCUUCUCCUUUCCCCUUUAAGCAUUUUGUUCUUCACUUGCACUUUCUUAGUCUUUAGGUUCUGCCCCCCCUCUUGUGAGCCUUGGGACUCUUUGAGUUCCCUCUGAACUUGGACACUUGAGGGCUGACCCUUCCACAGUGUACUUGUCCCCAUUCUGAUAACACAUUUGGGUGUGAUCAUUGGAAUCCCAUUGAGGCUUUUAGGGAACUUUGACGCUCUCAAAUGGGAGAAAGACUUUGGAUCAAUAAUCUCUUGGAGUUAGUUUACCUCAUAACUCAGUGAGUAAGUCAGAAUCAUGCUUCCUCUAGUUGUACUUUUAUUUAUAUUUUUCUGAUGUAUUUUUAUUUUAUUUCGGACUGUAAUAAUUUGUAAUAAACUCUUGGGAAUGGUUAGUAAAAAAGGGCAG
rnacentral:lncRNA from 1 species